UCCUAGAAUAGUGCUUAAAGCUGAAUUAACAUGAUGAUUUUAAUUUGUAUUGUUUAUUUCUUGUCAUUGCGACUUUGACGCAGCUGUUGUCAUGACAACAGACAACAAAACAUGUUUUGUUGAAGAAUUAUUGAUGAAUAAUUUUCCACAAAAAAUUGGAUUUUAACCAGGAUAGGAAAAUGAGAACCUGCGCCUAUCCGUUUAAACCGAUUGUAGAAUUUAUGGAAAGAUGGCGAUCUGAGUAUGUCCACUGAAGGGCCCCAAGAACGAGCCAACAAUAGUCAACGGUGGGUGGAACUAACGGACACGCGAACGUGAAAUGCUGAUGCCACCGGCGACACCAAAACUACUGAGAAAUUGAGAAAAGUGUGGAGUGACUUUAAACAGCAAGAAGAAGGCAACUCGCAUACACAGAGCUGCCAAGGGAACACUGGACUGGUGGCGGUCCAGGUUCUUCCCUGAAGCCAAAGGGAUUAGAGCAGAGUGCUUACCUACUUGUAAAUUAA